GAUGAACGCUAGCUACAGGCUUAACACAUGCAAGUCGAGGGGAAACGGCAUUGAGUGCUUGCACUCUUUGGACGUCGACCGGCGCACGGGUGAGUAACGCGUAUCCAACCUUCCCAUUACUGUGGGAUAACCUGCCGAAAGGCAGACUAAUACCGCAUAGUCUUCGAUGACGGCAUCAGAUUUGAAGUAAAGAUUUAUCGGUAAUGGAUGGGGAUGCGUCUGAUUAGCUUGUUGGCGGGGUAACGGCCCACCAAGGCUACGAUCAGUAGGGGUUCUGAGAGGAAGGUCCCCCACAUUGGAACUGAGACACGGGCCAAACUCCUACGGGAGGCAGCAGUGAGGAAUAUUGGUCAAUGGACGGAAGUCUGAACCAGCCAAGUAGCGUGCAGGAUGACGGCCCUAUGGGUUGUAAACUGCUUUUGUAUGGGGAUAAAGUUAGGGACGUGUCCCUAUUUGCAGGUACCAUACGAAUAAGGACCGGCUAAUUCCGUG
rnacentral:rRNA from 1 species